UCGUGUUGGAUAUCUUGUAAUUACUAACGAUAAAACAUCAAACAUAUUUAACAUUAUGGAUUUUUAUGUCGGAAACAAUAGUGAAUAAUCGAUGCAGUUUACAUCGAGGAAACUGAUGAUAUAGAAAUAAUUGAAAGUAAUAGUAAUAGAAAAGACUAGAAAUUGUAACUCUUGGCAACGUUAUCGUUUCGAAGCUUCAACUGAUAGUUUGCUUAGUUUAUCACCUACUACAGUUGUCGAACAGGCAUCCAACGCGUCACAAAGACUAUGGACAGUGAUAAAAUAUAUCUUGCAACGUAUGCACAAAUUUGUGCGUAUCCGCUUCGAUGUAAAGUCAUUUUCACGAUACGCAGACGGUGAACAUGAGUUACUAUGAAAAAAAAAAUGUCAUAAAUGUGGGACAAGGACAACCAAAUUAACAAUGCGCGCACGUCGGAUAAGUAAAAAUUAUAUUUCAUUACAAACUCGAUGAAUGUAGUACACCGAUGGAUGCACUCGUAAAUUUUCAAGUCCAACGCGAAGCACUAUAUUCUUCAGCCUAUCUGCGAUUUUCGAUCUUAGUACGGAUAAUACAAUAAACGGCAGGAUAUUACAUGUAUUACGCCUUUGUGGUUUAGUGUCAUAUUUGUAUAGGAUUUUAUCGAAAGCUCGUUACGACGACUUAUGUUAUGUUAAGUGUCCGCUACGUGACAUUGGAAAACUUACAAAUGCUGCAACUAGGUUCAAGAACCGAAGAGACGGGUAGUUGUGGCAGCUUAUCGUAUCCUCCACGUCUGCUCGAAUUACGGGCAAGAAAUUGAUAUAGGCCAAUUAAUAACGCCACGCAACCCAAAGCGUCACAGAUACCAUCGACGAUAUAACCAGAUGAACCAACAUCCGAACGUUCACCAUAAAUAUUCGCUCGUUUUCUGGCAACGUGUCCAUCUAGAUCGUCUAACCAUGUUCUUGCUUGAAAAAGCACCACACCUAAGCGUCUAUGGGAUAAUGAGUCGCUGGAAAUACAUUUGCCAGCUAUCACUGCUAUUAACACGUGAAAACAACUGAUUGCAUUUGGCGUGAUCCAUGUCCAAGAAUUGCUUAUCUGUAAUAGAUUGUCCAUAACGGCCGCAAGGGGACUCAGAAGAAAAUAAUUUGGAUAAUCUAACAUUAAUCCUUUUACUGUCACUGUACACAGUGGAUUAAUAUCACAAGAAUAUAACAAAAGAUCCAUUCCAAGGAAGUACAAUGUCAAUAAUAUCAAAAUUACUAGGAACGACCUGCUUACUAUAGUUGUUGUACCAAACAUUUUGUAUGUUAACUUUGGCACUUUAUAUUGUUGAAUUUAUAUUAAUUACACAUGUACAUCACACUUGUUGUUACAUGGUAUCACACUUUGUCUUCAUGAUGGAUUUAAAUAUAUUAUAUAUCAUAUAGACAACAUAUAAAUCCAGGAAAACUGAAGAACGUAUUUUUUUUUCAUUCGUCAUUAUUCCGAAAUACACUUACGAAUGACAUUUCUAGAUAUUCAAUUUUUCGAUUUAAUGAUCGCAUAUCUUAAUUAAAGUAAUCAACUUUUAAACACAUCUUUAUUAUUAUUAUUAUUUAGUUGUAUUACUAUUAUAAAGUUAUCUUUGUAUAGAUCAUACUGCUUCCAGAUUUUCCAGUAUAUUGAUACAACUACUAUAAUUAGUAGUACUUCACUCUACAGCAUAAAAUACUGCGAUGUUCAGAGAUAUCUUGACGUGACGCGGCUCUGCGUGGUUACACGAGAUCUUAUAGUUUCUGAUUGUACUAUUUUGAACAAUUAACAUGUGUCAUGUUGAUAAACGUAUAACAAAUUAUUUAUUUUCUUAAAAGAAAAUUUUUCAAUUUUUUUGCAUCUUCAAUUUAUUUCUUAUUAGGAAUAAUUAAAUUUCUUUAUAUGGUAAAAUUAUAAUCACACUAUUGUCACAUAAUUACUCUUAAAUCUUCACUAAUGGAAUGGUUGAUUAUAAAAACUUCUAUUUUGUGUUGUCCUUUUUUAUGAAACAUGAUUUUUCAGAAAAUGAUUCAGAAUAAUUUUAUAAAAGUCACGACAACAAAUAAAUUUCGCAAGCGUGUAUUACUCCUUAUGUAGACAGUAAAAUACUGCAAAAACUGGUUUAAGUCUAGAAUAGAAUGGCGAAACGUUAUAAUCGCAAAAUUUCUACUGUGCGCGUGCGCGCGUGCGCUUUACAAAUCGCUGGAAUCAUUUCUAUACGGUCUGUUAUGUAUGAAUAUGUUACAGAAAAAUGUAACACAUACACAUAAUUAAUGGUCAUUUAAAAGCUUAAUAGAAAAAAUAUAUGAAAUAUAAUAUUAUAUAGGAAUUUAUUAUGCAUACAUAAAAAUAUAGUACAUUUUAAUUACUUUCAUAAAUUAAAAGUAAAAAAUUUUAAGAAAUUCAAUACAUUUCAAAUAAUUUAAUAUAAAAUCAUAACAUUAAAAAAUAUCCAAUUAUAUAACUUAAAAUUUCUUUACUCUUAUAAUUCAAGUAUUGAGAAUAAAACUGUACUUAAAGUUGUCUCUA